GUCGAACGAACGGAGGAAGAGCUUGCUCUUCCAAAGUUAGUGGCGGACGGGUGAGUAACACGUGGGCAACCUGCCUGUAAGUUGGGGAUAACUCCGGGAAACCGGGGCUAAUACCGAAUGAUAAAGUUUGGCGCAUGCCACGCUUUUGAAAGAUGGUUUCGGCUAUCGCUUACAGAUGGGCCCGCGGUGCAUUAGCUAGUUGGUAGGGUAAUGGCCUACCAAGGCAACGAUGCAUAGCCGACCUGAGAGGGUGAU
rnacentral:rRNA from 1 species